rnacentral:rRNA from 1 species
CCUACGGGUGGCAGCAGUGGGGAAUAUUGCACAAUGGGGGAAACCCUGAUGCAGCGACGCCGCGUGAGUGAAGAAGUAUUUCGGUAUGUAAAGCUCUAUCAGCAGGGAAGAAAAUGACGGUACCUGAUCAAGAAUCCCCGGCUAACUACGUGCCAGCAGCCGCGGUAAUACGUAGGGUGCAAGCGUUAUCCGGAUUUACUGGGUGUAAAGGGAGCGUAGACGGCAGCACAAGUCUGGAGUGAAAUGCCGUGGCUUAACCCCGGAACUGCUUUGGAAACUGUGCAACUUGAGUGCAGGAGAGGUAAGUGGAAUUCCUGGUGUAGCGGUGAAAUGCGUAGAUAUUAGGAGGAACACCAGUGGCGAAGGCGGCUUACUGGACUGUAACUGACGUUGAGGCUCGAAAGCGUGGGGAGCAAACAGGAUUAGAUACCCGGGUAGUC